UGGGGAAUAUUGGACAAUGGGCGCAAGCCUGAUCCAGCAAUGCCGCGUGAGUGAGGAAGGCCUUAGGGUUGUAAAGCUCUUUCACCCACGACGAUGAUGACGGUAGUGGGAGAAGAAGCCCCGGCUACCUUCGUGCCAGCAGCCGCGGUAAUACGAAGGGGGCGAGCGUUGUUCGGAUUUACUGGGCGUAAAGGGCGCGCAGGCGGCCAUUUUUGUCGAGUGUGAAAGCCCCGGGCUUAACCUGGGAACUGCGCUCGAAACGGGAUGGCUAGAGAUCGGGAGAGGAGAGUGGAAUUCCCAGUGUAGAGGUGAAAUUCGUAGAUAUUGGGAAGAACACCGGUGGCGAAGGCGGCUCUCUGGACCGAUACUGACGCUGAGGCGCGAAAGCGUGGGGAGCAAAC
rnacentral:rRNA from 1 species